AUGUUACACUUUCCGACAAAACCCACGCUUUCCCUUUUCAGUCAAUAGUCUCUUACGAUUCCUCUUUGUAGCCAUUGUUCUAUUCUUUCCGAAUCUCCGUUACUUGCAGUAACUAUCCACUCUAAAAUCAUUGCUUUUGCUCUUUACACCUUCUUACAAGAUGUAUCUUUCACCUCCUUUUGUUUUCCUCCUGUAUGAUCUAUUUCUCGAUUCUUAUUGUAUACCGUAAUCUACGAUUUUUUCAGUCGAAGAUCAAGCUGUAUCCAUGAGAUCUGCUAAGUCCUCCGGAAAGUUUUAUGUCGCUGUGUAUUUCACCAACAUCUCCUCGGGUACAGCGGAAUCUGAACUAGGCUUCCGGUUAAUCCGUUUCUGGGAGACGAUAAGCACAGCUAAAGGUGGUUUGCUUAUUGGCUUGGAGCUUCUCCUUACAGGCAAGCAGAAAUGGCUACGCACAACUCGAAAUCUACCGCAUCAAUAUUUUUCUCCCGUUCUUAGUGGUUUGUAAAUUUGUCGUUUCAUCGCUCCAAUGUCACAAAGAAACUAUUUGAAUUUACAUUUCUUGCCACUACUCACAGGUUUCGCAGCUGCGGUUUGGACAUAGCUGCAACAGUUAUCUUCUUUAAAAAAAACAGCUGUGAUCAAGUCAAUUUUUCCAGGCAUCCAGAUGAUUAUUAAGAAAAAAAAUUGUUUGAGCUGGAAUCUGAAGUUUGUGUCCUGGAAAGCCUCUGGCAGCUGAAACUGGGGUAAAAUUCUGUAUUCUUUUAUCUUUAACUUGGAUGGGAGGUAUUAUUUUGUUGUUCAAAGAGUUGAAUCCAAACAGCCUUUAGGAGAAGAAGCAAAAAUUUACCUGAGAAAAGUUAUACAAGAGCUUUAUGUGUAGGUUUUUUUCUUAAAUACGUAGGUGAAACUCUGAACACCUUGCUCCUGCAAAAAGUCGCAUUUGAAUCUGUAAGUUGUGUACGCCUUGGUCCUGUUUAGUCUUUGCAUGUUUAAGAAAUUCAAACUGGCUUGAAGUUGACUGUUUACAGUCUCUUUAACCGCUGUAGUUAGUGUGAAGGUUUGUUGCUGAGUUUAUUGCAUAGAUCCAUUUUCAUGUGUGGAUUGUUUCAACAAACCAUCAUUAAGACUCUGUCUUGGCUACCCGCAAAUAGAUUGAGAAUUCACUUACAAACUCAAAGGAACAGCAAUGCUCUCUAUUCAGAGAUCAUGUUGAGAGAUCCCAGAGCUUUUUACACAGAUUUCUAUCAUGCUCGCUGGAACUGGAAGCACUGCUCUUUUCACUGUGAUUUGUAGCUUUGCUUCAAGGCGUGUACCCUUUUGCGCAAACAAGUUCUUCAAGACUGUACUUGGUUUCAGUUUGGUCAUACUGCUUUGGGCUGUGGAUAGACUCGGGAGGUGAUUACUUAGCGCAUACUUCUUCCAUGGGAAGACAUUCUGAUGUUUGAUUGUGUUCUUGCGAUCAAUGAGCCUUACUUAAUCAGCAGCUCCUGCUGGUUGUGGCUUCUAAGUUGGCAACAAGAACAAGAGUAAUCUCAGAGGAAGCAAAAGGCACGACCAAGUACUUUAUAUUCUUAUAAGAAACAUCUUUGCUCCUAUGUAAACUAUAUAUGUUUCUCCAAUGACAUGAAGAAUAUAUAAAUUGGUUUUUGUUUGUGUGAUCAGGAACAAACAAAAAUUUUGAAUAUAAAGCAUGUUACAGAAGACUUA